GAUGAACGCUGGCGGCGUGCCUAAUACAUGCAAGUCGAGCUAAGCGGGGACGGGUGAGUAACACGUGGAUAACCUCCUAUAAGACUGGGAUAACUUCGGGAAACCGGAGCUAAACCGGAUACUUAUAGAUGGAUCCGCGCUGCAUUAGCUAGUUGGUAAGGUAAAGGCUUACAAAGGCAACUAUGCAUAGCCGACCAGAGAGGCGCAUCUGCCACACUGGAACUGAGACACGGUCCAGACGCCUUGGUGAGUAGGCAGUAGGGAAUCUUCCGGAAUGGGCGAAAGCCUGAAGAAGGAACGCGGCGUGAGUGAUGAAGUUAUUCGGAUCUUAAAACUCUGUUAUUUGUUCAGCGGUGCCUAAUCAGAAAGCCACUGCUAACUACGUGCCAGCAGCCGCGGUAAUUC
rnacentral:rRNA from 1 species